AUAAGAGGUCCAGCCUGCCCAGUGACACUGUUCAACGGCCGCGGUAUCCUAACCGUGCGAAGGUAGCGUAAUCACUUGUCCUUUAAAUGGGGACUAGUAUGAACGGCACCACGAGGGUUAUACUGUCUCCUUUUUCUAAUCAGUGAAUCUAAUCUCCCCGUGAAGAAGCGGGGUUACAGCUAUAAGACGAGAAGACCCUAUGGAGCUUUAAACAAAACAACAUUCGCUAAGUCACACACGAAUCUCAGGAAAUAACUCUUAUUUUAGCCCUAUGAUUGUUAGUUUUAGGUUGGGGUGACCGCGGAGUAAAAAACAACCUCCACAAUGAAUAGGGCCCUCCCUUAAGCAAAAAGCCACAACUUUACGCAUCAACAAAUUGACAUUAAUUGACCCAAUAUUUUGAUCAACGAAACAAGUUACCCUAGGGAUAACAGCGCAAUCCACUUCAAGAGCCCGUAUCGACAAGUGGGUUUACGACCUCGAUGUUGGAUCAGGG
rnacentral:rRNA from 1 species